rnacentral:rRNA from 1 species
AUUGAACGCUGGCGGCAUGCCUUACACAUGCAAGUCGAACGGCAGCACGGGGGCAACCCUGGUGGCGAGUGGCGAACGGGUGAGUAAUACAUCGGAACGUGUCCUGUCGUGGGGGAUAACCAGUCGAAAGACUGGCUAAUACCGCAUGAGAUCGAGAGAUGAAAGCAGGGGACCGCAAGGCCUUGCGCGAUUGGAGCGGCCGAUGUCGGAUUAGCUAGUUGGCGGGGUAAAAGCCCACCAAGGCGACGAUCCGUAGCUGGUUUGAGAGAACGACCAGCCACACUGGGACUGAGACACGGCCCAGACUCCUACGGGUGGCAG